UUUUGCACGGAUCUGAAACUGC
rnacentral:siRNA from 1 species